rnacentral:rRNA from 1 species
GCUCAGAGGUAAACGGGUGGAGUUGAACUGCAAGCCCAGGGAAUUCAGCUGGUGAACUUGGUUUGAGCUUGGUCAAAUUGGUUGUACACUGAGGUCUGUGUAGCAGCAGGUCUCUGCCUUCGGGUAGGGAUGCGCGAGGCACUCAGCAAGUGUUGCGCGCUUCAGAUGUAUUCGGGCCAGUUUGCCAGUGCAUUUUCUCUGGGUGUUCACCAUGACCGGCACUGCUGUCUGGCUGUUGUGGUUAAACCGGCUUUGCAUCGUCCUUGUGGCUUUACUUGGUCGGGACGGCAGGUAGCCUGUGAGCUAGUCUGGGGCAACUCAGGCAAUUGGUUCAUGGGUGUAAUCAGCUGACCAUGAUGGUUCUGUGCAGUGUGUCGGAGACGGCGGCUUGUGGUGUGAGCAUGCGUGCUGCUUGCUGGCUUGUUCAGGUUUGGUUGCCAUGUUGCUUGUUCUACAGGCCUGGUGACAGCUUGGAUAUGUCUGGUGGGUUGUUGCGUGUGUGAUACUAUUUCCAGGGCCAAUAGUCUAUGGUGUAGUGGUAGACGAUCCACCUGACCCGUCUUGAAACACGGACCAAGGAGAGUAACAUGUGUGCGAGUCAUUGGGCGUAACGAAACCCACAGGCGCAGUGAAAGUAAAGGUUUGGCUUGUCCAGACUGAGGUGGGAUCCUGUCGUGCCAAACGCGCGGUACUACCAAGCAUUGAGCGGCAGGCGCACCACCGGCCCGUCCCAUGGCGUAGUCAUUGUUU